UGGGGAAUUUUGGACAAUGGGCGAAAGCCUGAUCCAGCAAUGCCGCGUGUGUGAAGAAGGCCUUCGGGUUGUAAGCACUUUUGUCCGGAAAGAAAUCCUUGGCUCUAAUACAGUCGGGGGAUGACGGUACCGGAAGAAUAAGCACCGGCUAACUACGUGCCAGCAGCCGCGGUAAUACGUAGGGUGCAAGCGUUAAUCGGAAUUACUGGGCGUAAAGCGUGCGCAGGCGGUUUGCUAAGACCGAUGUGAAAUCCCCGGGCUCAACCUGGGAACUGCAUUGGUGACUGGCAGGCUAGAGUAUGGCAGAGGGGGGUAGAAUUCCACGUGUAGCAGUGAAAUGCGUAGAGAUGUGGAGGAAUACCGAUGGCGAAGGCAGCCCCCUGGGCCAAUACUGACGCUCAUGCACGAAAGCGUGGGGAGCAAACAGGAUUAGAUACCCUGGUAGUCCACGCCCUAAACGAUGUCAACUAGUUGUUGGGGACUUCAUUUCCUUAGUAACGUAGCUAACGCGUGAAGUUGACCGCCUGGGGAGUAC
rnacentral:rRNA from 1 species